rnacentral:rRNA from 1 species
UACGUAGGGUGCAAGCGUUGUCCGGAAUUAUUGGGCGUAAAGAGCUCGUAGGCGGUUUGUCGCGUCUGCUGUGAAAACUCGGGGCUUAACUCCGGGCCUGCAGUGGGUACGGGCAGACUAGAGUGCGGUAGGGGAGACUGGAAUUCCUGGUGUAGCGGUGAAAUGCGCAGAUAUCAGGAGGAACACCGGUGGCGAAGGCGGGUCUCUGGGCCGUAACUGACGCUGAGGCGCGAAAGCCAGGGGAGCAAACAGG